rnacentral:tRNA from 1 species
GAGAGAUGUCCGAGAGGUCGAAGGUGCCUGACUCGAAAUCAGGUGUGGUUCAUAGCCACCGAGGGUUCGAAUCCCUCUCUCUCC